GAUGAAGAACGCAGCGAAAUGCGAUAAGUAAUGUGAAUUGCAGAAUUCAGUGAAUCAUCGAAUCUUUGAACGCACAUUGCGCCCGCUAGUAUUCUGGCGGGCAUGCCUGUCCGAGCGUCAUUUCAGCCCUCAAGCCCCCGGGCUUGGUGUUGGGGAUCGGCGAGCCUCCGCGCCCGCCGUCCCCUAAAUCUAGUGGCGGUCUCGCUGUAGCUUCCUCUGCGUAGUAGCACACCUCGCACUGGGAAACAGCGCGGCCACGCCGUUAAACCCCCAACUUCUGAACGUUUGACCUCGGAUCAGGUAGGAAUACCCGCUGAACUUAAGCAUAUCAAUAAGCGGAGGA
rnacentral:misc_RNA from 1 species